rnacentral:rRNA from 1 species
GCAAGUCGAACGAGAUCCUUCGGGGUCUAGUGGCGCACGGGUGCGUAACGCGUGGGAAUCUGCCUUUCGGUACGGAAUAACUCAGGGAAACUUGUGCUAAUACCGUAUGACGUCGCGAGACCAAAGAUUUAUCGCCGAAAGAUGAGCCCGCGUAGGAUUAGCUAGUUGGUGGGGUAAAGGCCUACCAAGGCGACGAUCCUUAGCUGGUCUGAGAGGAUGAUCAGCCACACUGGGACUGAGACACGGCCCAGACUCCUACGGGAGGCAGCAGUGGGGAAUAUUGGACAAUGGGCGAAAGCCUGAUCCAGCAAUGCCGCGUGAGUGAUGAAGGCCUUAGGGUUGUAAAGCUCUUUUACCCGGGAUGAUAAUGACAGUACCGGGAGAAUAAGCCCCGGCUAACUCCGUGCCAGCAGCCGCGGUAAUACGGAGGGGGCUAGCGUUGUUCGGAAUUACUGGGCGUAAAGCGUACGUAGGCGGUGACUCAAGUCAGAGGUGAAAGCCCGGGGCUCAACUCCGGAAUUGCCUUUGAAACUAGGUCGCUUGAACGUCGGAGAGGUGAGUGGAAUUCCGAGUGUAGAGGUGAAAUUCGUAGAUAUUCGGAAGAACACCAGUGGCGAAGGCGGCUCACUGGACGACUGUUGACGCUGAGGUACGAAAGCGUGGGGAGCAAACAGGAUUAAAUACCCUGGUAGUC